rnacentral:rRNA from 1 species
CAAUAGCGUAUACUAAUGUUGUUGCAGUUAAAAAGCUCGUAGUUGAACUUCUGGUAGGAGUGUCCCGGCCUUUUUGUUUUUUACAAAUUGUAUGCUGUGUGACAUCUCUGGCCAUCCUUCUUCUUUGUUUAAAGAAGAUCUUUCACUGUAAAAAAAUUAGGGUGUUCAAAGCAAAAGUUUCUUUGGAAUAUAUUAGUAUGGGAUGAUAAGAUAGGCUCUAGAUGCUAUUUUGUUGGUUUGCACAUUUAGAGAAUGAUUAACAGGGACAGUUGGGGGUAUUCGUAUUUACAUGUCAGAGGUGAAAUUCUUGGAUUUUGGAAAGACGAACUACUGCGAAAGCAUUUACCAAGGAUGUUUUCAUUAA